AGCUCCAUUAGCGUAUAUUAAAGUUGUUGCAGUUAAAAAGCUCGUAGUUGGAUUUCUGUUUUCAAUUACCGGUCCGCUCAUGUAUUUGAGUGUGUACUUGUGUUAUUGAAUUCAUUUUUGUGAGGAUCCUUAUCUGGCAUUAAGUUGCCGGGUUUGUGUACUUGCAUCUUUUACUGUGAAAAAAUUAGAGUGUUUAAAGCAGGCGUUCGCUUAUUUGAAUACAUUAGCAUGGAAUAAUAAGAUAUGACUUGUGUGGUCUAUUUUGUUGGUUUGCACACGCGAGUAAUGAUUAAGAGGGACAGUUGGGGGUAUUCAUAUUUCAGCGUCAGAGGUGAAAUUCUUGGAUCGCUGAAAGAUGAGCUUAGGCGAAAGCAUUUACCAUGGAUGUUUUCAUUAAUCA
rnacentral:rRNA from 1 species